rnacentral:rRNA from 1 species
GAUUUCUGAUCUCUUUUCCGGUUUGGCCCGCCAUGGUUACAUGUGUGAGUGCUUGAACUGAGAGAUCAUCUGCUGUAUGGGCUAGGACAGGUUGGCUUCAUUGUCAGCUUGCUCUAGUACUCCAAACUAUACAGCCUAUUACUUUGAACAAAUUAGAGUGUUUCAAGCAAGCAGUAUUGCUCUGAAUACAUUAGCAUGGAAUAAUCCGAUAGGACUUUGGUCUUAUUUUGUUGGUUUUAUCAUGGGGACUAAAGUAAUGAUUGAUAGGGAUAGUUGGGGGUGCUAGUAUUCAGAGGCCAGAGGUGAAAUUCUUGGAUUCUCUGAAGACUCCCUUAUGCGAAAGCAUU